GAUCUCCUACGGGGCGCAGCAGUGGGGGAUAUUGCACAAUGGGGGAAACCCUGAUGCAGCGACGCCGCGUGAGUGAAGAAGUAUUUCGGUAUGUAAAGCUCUAUCGGCAGGGAAGAAAAAAAUGACAGUACCUGACUAAGAAGCCCCGGCUAACUACGUGCCAGCAGCCGCGGUAAUACGUAGGGGGCAAGCGUUAUCCGGAUUUACUGGGUGUAAAGGGAGCGGAGGCGGCCACGCCAGUCAGAAGUGAAAAACCGGGGCUCAACCCUGGGAGUGCUUUU
rnacentral:rRNA from 1 species